ACCCGACUCUAGCCCGACUCUCACCUUCGGUGGAAACAUAUAGCGUUUUCAACUGACUGGAUCUGACAUAGCACUCGCGGAGCGUUUAACCUGAAGAUACUAGGAACACAUGUUCGACCGAAAAUGUGUUGUUAGAUUAGGUUCUAGGUACAAUAUUCUUUUUAAUUUUACGAUAAAAUCGAAAUAUUUAUUGGUAAACUUACGCGUUAUUGUCACCAAAGAAUGCUUUGUUCUACAAUAAACACGCACGUAUAACCCGAUUGUAAUCUUACAAAGCUUCUUGGCACUGAUGGAUCAAUUCACAAUGGUAUGGGUCGAACAUGGAUUGCAUUUGGGUUAUUUGUCUAGUAACCUAAAACAAAACUCGUGACGUCAUUAAUCGCUCCCAAUGAUAUCAUUAAUUCUGGCCCAGUCGAAAACGCUAAUAGUUAAUGCUGAUUCGCUGUUUCCAUAAUCAUAAUGCACGAAGAGUUAGAAAGUCACACGCUUUUCAAACGUACCUCGAUCCGUGUGCAACGUCAGAUGGAUAGGCAUUAAUGAUGCCGUGUGUGUACGUGAAAACACUACGUGCAACGAAAGCGACAUCUCGAUUAGGAUUUCGUACUAACAUCGACAACCACUUUUGAGCACAGAAUCUGGCGCAUUCGUCCAUAUAAAUUGAGCCUCCUAAUCUCUAGUCUUCAUGCACCUGGUGUCACAGAUUUCUAUACUAUACUAGGGCCUGUAUUCAUAGUCCGUUUUUAUAUUUAAGAUCAUCUUAAGUAUACUCUUAAUGUGUUUUAAACCAAUCACGGAGCCGUACUAGCAUCUUAAGACAAUACUUAAGAUGAUUUUGAAAUAAGAAUCGACUAUGAAUACGGGCCUAGAUCACUAACUUCGGGCUUUGGCCAGAGAAAAGCUGUGAUCGGCAGGAUAUCCGGUUUCGGCCAUGAAACCCGACACAUGGCGGCCGGCGGUGCGUGUGUGGUAGUGUAUAUGUGAAUACCCGACGUGUGUAUGAUACCCGCCCAGCGAGAAAAAAUAAAUAGUUCGUCUAUCAACAUUGAAACGAUGUCGAAUUGAUAUCGAUUUGAUGUUUUUGACGUCAAUUCGGCAUCGUUUCAACGUCGAUCAACGAGUCAUUUCUUGCCAUUUCAGUAAGUAAGAUGUAUUGAGUUGGCACUAAGUAAUUGCGGAUUUCACUGAUAGUUGAAUGUUUAGGUAUAUUUACAUAUUCGAAAUGUCAAACCGAUAUUGUUGUUUGAUAAUUGAUACUUUAAUUGGCAUUUCAGUACAAAAGUUGUAUCGAUCGGUUGUGUAGUUUUUGUCUGGCGUCGGUUGAAAAAUGGAAAAGCAAAACGAGUAUCUUCGUCAUAUUUCGCUUUUUACUUCCGCAAAGUAAAAAACGCAUCGCACGCUAACCAAAAGUUAUGUACUGUGUAUGGCGAUGAAACCUUAAAAGAAUGGCAAUGUCAAAAUUGGUUUGCUAAAUUUCAUUCUGGUGAGUUUUUACUCAAAGAUGAACAACGCUCUGGUUGUCCAGUUGAAAUUGAUGAUAACCAAAUCAAAACAAUAAUCGAUACGGAUCUAGGGGGAACAAACUUACUCUUGAGAAAAUGGGGGACGUACGUGAUCUGCUCUAUGACCCGGAAAGGGCGAACUAAAGUAAGUCACGUGAUAAGGAAUGGAGCAAGGUACGUGGACAUCUAUAUACAUAGAUGCGUGCAUACACAUAUACAUCGAAAUUGCUAAUAUAUUAUUAGCAAUUAAACAAAAGUGUAGAACUGAUUAUGUACGUUAUCAAGAGAGAUAAUUGAAAGAAGGUGGAGUUUAUUUGUUAAUUUAUUGGACAUACUGGGAAGAUAGUGUAAUAGCUGUUUCUCAGAUCGAGAAAACACGCUAAAUAACCUAACGGUUAAAAGACGUUCCCGUAGAGGGAGAUAGGAAAUAAACUUUAUUACUGGAUAUGUAGAAUUUUUCUUUUAAUGCAAAAGGCAUUUUUUAAAAAUCGUUUGGUGUAAUUUCCCCACAACACUUUAAAAUCGUCGCCAGUCAUCGCAAACUGUUGCAACCGAUAACCACGGUUAUCCGCCAUAACUUUAUCAAUGGUAGUGGGGGAACAACAGUGCUGCGCUCUGCCUCGUGACCCGAAGUUGUGAACUAAUCAAACUUCCGCCACCGUUAAAAUACGGAGAGUUUGUCCUCCCUGUACGGAUCGUCAUAGCACAACACGUGAGAUUGCAGAAAAGCUCGAUGUAUCACAUAGAUGCAUUGAAAAGCGUGUAAAACAACUUGGCUGCGUAAAAACUCGAUUUAUGGGUUCCUCAUGAACUUAAAGAAAUUCACUUAACACAACGCAUUAGCAUCUGCGAUUUGCUUAUGAAACGUAACGAAAAUGAUCCAUUUUUAAAUGAUCGAUAACUAGCAAUGAAAAAUAGACUGUUUAUAACAGUGUCAAUUGAAAAAGAUCGCGGAGUAAGCAAGAUGAACCCGCGUCAACAACACCUAAAGCUGAUAUUCAUUAAAAGAAGGUCAUGUUAUCAGUUUGGCGGAAUUACAAAGGAAUUAUCCAGUUUAAAAUUUGAUCACGCAAUGAAAUGAUCAAUUCAGAUGUAUACAUUGAACAACUAACCAAACUAAACGAUGCAAUUCAAUAAAAACGAUCAGAAUUGGCAAAUCGAAAAAAUACUGUGUUCGAUCCAUAGACGUAGACUACAUAGACUGCGCGUUUAGCUGAAGCAGUGUACAAAUUUUAGAAAGAGACAACAUACUUUAAGUGGUUACCCUUUAUCAUUUCCCUUACUCUUCUGUUACCCCCACUACUUAUUAGACAAAGAUGAGGCGACCACUCAACUGUCAGCUAUUUCGUUCUAAAGUUUGUACAUGUGUGGCCUUACAUGUUUGGUUGGGAUGUGUUGCUACAUCCACUAUACAUAUAGUCCUGACCUUGCACCAUCAGAUUACUAUUUAUUUCGUUCUUUGCAAAACUUCUUGAAUGGUAUAAAUUUCAAUAAUGAUGAUGUCAAAUCGUACUUGGUUCAGCUUUUUGCCAAUAAAAACCAGAAGUUUUACGAACGUGGGAUUAUGAUGCUGUCUGAAAGAUGGCAUAAGAUCAUUGACAAAAAUGGACAAUACAUUACUGAAUAGAGACAUUUCGUUCUAUAAAAAAAUUAUCUUUUGUUUUCUUUAAAAAAAUCCGCAAUUAGUUGUCAACCCAAUAUUUAUGCGUAAUAAAUUUCGGGGUUUGUAAUAUGUGAAGAUUACGUUGUAAUUAUUAACAUUAAUAAACAUUGUAUCCAGAUUUUCGAAGUGUCCAGACACUUUACAAAUGUGAAUGAAUGCAGUUGGAAGAGAUUUUAUACUCACAAAGUACAACAUAACCUUCAUAUACUUGACCGCUUGGCGCGAACGGCGGGAAUCACAAUACACACACACAUGCACGUCGGGUGUUCACAUGUACACUACCACACGUACCACCGCCAUGUUCUGUAGGAUGUCAUGGCCGACACCGGCUAUCCUGCGAAACACAGCUCUUUUGAUCAAGUUAGCGAUCUAACAUAGUACAAACAUCUGUGCCUGGCGUACAUCUUUGAACAAUUUGAACUACCAUAUAAACCAGAUUUUAGUCCUAUUCUCGAAAUAAGUUGAGUCUCCUGUCUUCUUGAUUGAAUUUUAACGAGAGUCGCGACACGCGGGUUGAUCGAUUUGCCGCCACGUGGUCACGCGCGCGCGGAUGCGUAUGUACAUAGAUAUAAAUAUCAGUAUCUUUUGCUGUAGUAGCUAAUUUACCCCGUACAUACCGGUGGUAUACCGUCACGUAUUACAAUUCCCCCUUCCGCAGUAGAGCUUUCUGCGCCCUUUAUUCCACGCGGAGAUCCACGCGGUAAAUCGGAGGACAGCAUGUAUCUUGGUAUCUAAUUACACUUGAUUCCCGACGAGUGAUACAAGUAGACUUGAUGCGUAGAUCUGACUAUGGCUACCAAUUACGGGAAGUAGAGGUGCAUUAAUGCGUGCGCGCCGACAAGCAGCGGGAAGCGCCAGUGAGGUGAGUGCGAUGUCAGGGAAUAGAUCGUUACAUUUUUUCUCCUUUUCUUUAGCAUAAUUUCUCUCCGCCCCCUUCCUUCGCUCGACCAAAAAUCGAUGUGGCGCUAAUUGCACCGCGCAAUUAUUUCGCGACGGUCGCGUUAUCGCGCUUUCGUCAAGUUGCGGAAGCUCGCGUCGAAUUCAUUCGUCACGCCUUGCAGAUAGUUAUUCAUGUAGACGGCCCUUGACACACGUAAUUCUCAUUAAUAAUUGAUCGAGCAACUUAUCCAGUCUGAAGACAUUUCCGCGGAGAGUACCCAGCCGUAUCUUAUCGAGCGUUUAAUUUCAUUUCCCUGUCUACAAUAUUACACAAUGUUGACAUUCUGUAUCAGAACUUUCACGAUACCUGUUAUCGUUGCCCGAUGCGACCUGAUACGCGAUCGAUCCCUUCGCCUACCGCAACGAUACCUUACCGAUACCUUAAACCACUCCGAAGAUCGCAUAUCGACCUUUUAAUAUCAGCAUUGCCCGUUAUUAGUAAAUCGAACUAAGAAACAUGAGAUUAUUGAUCGAAAAACUACGGUAAUAAUGCAUAUUGCAUAGAGGAGAAUUGCGUUAAUUGCAACGGAGACAGAUUAUUAUUGUACGUAAACUCGUCAAUGAGUAGUGACAAAUAAGGAGACUUAUGAGACCAAAAUGGGAAGAUUUAAUCUUUUUACAGCUGAUUUUGGGGAUACAUGCGGUUGGGAUUUAACCCUCGAUAUCAUUAAUCACGAUAUAUGGCCUAAUGUAUUAUAGAAAUCUCAUAAUAUCGAGACGGAUUAAUAGAAUUUUCUGCGUGAAAUAAAAAUUCGAUAGGGAUUCUCAUUAGUAGACGAAGUAGAUAAUUAGCAGACAAUUAGAAAUGUUUCGAGAAGAAACGACGUUUCUGAAGAAUUCUUACCAGGGAUAGGACAAGAAAUUAUGUGAUAUAAAUUAGAAUCCGUACGAAUAGAGAGACAUAACAUAUCAACUAUUUUCAUUGUUGGCAAAUUGCAUCCGUAUUUGAUUUAUAAUAUCAAAACUUGCGUGAAUUUUCCCUUUGCUUAAGUUCUAUUUGAAAAAUAAUACAAGAUCCGAGAAAAAAUACAUAUAUGACAUACAUAUGUAAAUAUGCUUAUGUAAUUAUACAAAAACACUCUGUAUAUAAAAAUGCGCCGGAGUAUUCAUGCCUGUGAUAGAACGAGAGAUACCGAUGAAUAUUCGUAGCUUUGUCGGCCUCAACACCAACAAAUUAUUACAGGAAUUGUCAUUUAUUUCCACGUGAACGCGCUAAGCAAAACUGCGGCGCAAACAAACGGGUAGAAACUGAUCGAUAUAUUAUCCGUAUUUGUAAGUCUGGAUAUUAUUUUGUGGUACCUUGUGCGCACCUCUUCGUGCACAUUAUGUUCAUAAGUGCUAAGGGAGCUAGUGAAUAGACGAGUGCUUUUUGUAUGUUUACUUCAAGUACAAAUUGUAUAAUAGUAUAUAUGAUCUAAAUAGCCUUUAAACGACAUAUUUUAGAUUAGAUGUUACUAAUUCGCAAGACGCGAACAGUAAUAUUGUUGCGAAUGCCCGUAAAGAGGGAGAUUCCAAGUUGACAUUAAAACGAUGGAAAGUGAAGUAAUUUUAAUGAUAGAUAAUACAAUAGUGUAGUAGUCUGUUUGCUUGCGCGCGUGGUCGUUUCCAUUAGCACAUCGACUAUCGCGACAAGCGACGUCAGUCGAUAGGAACGAUCUACUACGAAAAUACGUAACGUAACAUCGACUAGAAGACUUGAAAAGUUGGCACGGUUAAUCACGAUCGGAUAGUCGGUGUGUUAACCGCACAGAUCACGACAUAUCGAACCCUGCGAGGUCUUGGGCUCUAAGUGAUAAUUUAAUUCUCUAAGAGUGAUAUUGCGCGCUCGAUACUUUUGCAAGUUUAGGCCAAGUUCUAGCUGGCUGGGAUGAUCAAGGGCUUUUUUCAAAAUCGUAACAGCAUACGUCACAACGGGAGGAUGCGUAAGUCACAAAAACAUCUACCUACCCUCUCCCAAGGACAGCGUUCUACAAAGUUUUGUGCAACGGAAGAGGAGAACGGCCAAGUGCAAGAGUAUCCGAAGAGAGCGUCUCUAACUCAUCCUCGGAAGGUAUUCACGGUAGCAACGAAUCGACAAUUGUUCCCUUCGUGGGAUCACUUGAUAUCACAUUAUACCAUAUUAACUUUAUUAUUAAUGAUAUUAUCGCUAUUAUGUACAUAUAUACAUAUACAUAUAUAUAUAUAUUUUAAUCAACAUACUCAAGCCGUCGUGUAAAUCCCUCUGUGCAUUUCCAAGAUCCUCCAUACACAUUCGAAUACAAUUGUAUCGUAAGGCACCAUUCCAGAGAUAUACGUCAAAUUUUUUUAACCGAGAGAGACUUUGCGAGUUAUACAUAGCGAAAAUUUCACGGAGAAGCGAAUUGAGUGGAAAAUUUGGAAUGCAGAACCAGAUGCGUCCGGCCGAAGCACCUAAAUCACUAAUUUUCUCCUCUGUGUUAUAGUCCCCUGUCUCGUUUUAUUUAUUGAAAACGAGAAUGGGAAUGAUAAAAAAUAAAUGAUGAAACCCACGCCCUCCCAAAA